AGAGUUUGUAUCAUGGGUCAGUAGCGUGCGCUGGCGGCAGGCUUAACACAUGCAAGUCGAACGGUUCCUUCGGGGACAGUGGCAGACGGGUGAGUAACGCGUGGGAACGUGCCCAUCGGUUCGGAAUAACCCAGGGAAACUUGGGCUAAUACCGGAUACGUGCGAGAGCAGAAAGAUUUAUCGCCGAUGGAUCGGCCCGCGUCCGAUUAGCUUGUUGGUGAGGUAACGGCUCACCAAGGCGACGAUCGGUAGCUGGUCUGAGAGGAUGAUCAGCCACACUGGGACUGAGACACGGCCCAGACUCCUACGGGAGGCAGCAGUGGGGAAUAUUGGACAAUGGGCGCAAGCCUGAUCCAGCCAUGCCGCGUGAGUGAUGAAGGCCUUAGGGUUGUAAAGCUCUUUCGCACGCGACGAUAAUGACGGUAGCGUGAGAAGAAGCCCCGGCUAACUUCGUGCCAGCAGCCGCGGUAAUACGAAGGGGGCUAGCGUUGCUCGUAAUCACUGGGCGUAAAGGGCGCGUAGGCGGACAUUUAAGUCGGGGGUGAAAGCCCAGGGCCCAACCCUGGAAUUGCCUCCGAUACUGGAUGUCUAGAGACCGGAAGAGGUGAGUGGCACUGCGAGUGUAGAGGUGAAAUUCGUAGAUAUUCGCAAGAACACCAGUGGCGAAGGCGGCUCACUGGGUCCGGAUCUGACGCUGAGGCGCGAAAGCGUGGGGAGCAAA
rnacentral:rRNA from 2 species